rnacentral:sRNA from 1 species
UUUGACACAUUUCCCAUUUCCAUUCUCAAUUUUAAUUAACAGUUCGUGACUGUUUAUCACAAAUGAAUAUACGGUCAAUGCUAUUUGAUAUCGCAUAUUUCACAGUUAGAAUAUAUAUAUAUUCAUCAUAAAAUUGAGAAUGGAAAUGGGGAAUGUGUCAAA